rnacentral:lncRNA from 1 species
CCAUGACUCUGAGCAUGUCUCCGGCUGCGGUGUGCCAGUGCUUUACACUGGUGUCACUGUGCACAUCCAUCGCCGACCCAAACUGGAUCCAAGUCAUGAACAACACUGACCCUGGAGGCAAACAGCUCAUCUAUGGUGUGGCUUUCAUACUGCAUGCUCCCCAGAACCUCACUGACACAGGUCCCCUGGGUGGUGUAAAUGGCUGGGGGGUGUGGCUGCUUUAUGCCCUGGCAGCUCUGUGCUACAGUGCUGUCCUGCUCUCCAGCUCCUCCUUCCUAUUGGACUUCCUGGGGACUGGGAUGUCCCACCCUCGACUGGUGGUGUUACUCCACAUCUCCACAGUGGUUCUCCUCCUGUCUGUUCUGGGAGUGUGUGGGGCCUGCCUGUACAUCAUUCACUGCAACCUUCAGGAGGGCAAGCUUGGGCCACUGUGGGAAUGGGUGGGGGGCUGGACCUGGCCUGGGUCUGGCUCCAGGAGCCAGGGAGGGGUGGCGGGGAUGAAGCCUUACCCAGGGGAGAGCUUCUACAUCACCAUGCUGGGCCUGCUCUUCUCCUGCCUGGCCGGUGUGAUCAGCCUGAGCAGCCUAGGGGACACCACCUCCACCCAGAGGGACUACAUAGCUGUGGUGGAGUGGGACGACAGUGACACAGAGCCCCUUACCCCCAGGGAGCAGGGAGUGGGACAGUCUGACGAAGAGGAGGGGGUAGGAGACGUGUUGCCUGAAAUUACUCAGGGGGAGGUGGGUGGAAGUGGAGACUCCUAA